AUUGAACGCUGGCGGCAGGCUUAACACAUGCAAGUCGAGCGAGCGGCGGACGGGUGAGUAAUGUCUGGGAAACUGCCUGAUGGAGGGGGAUAACUACUGGAAACGGUAGCUAAUACCGCAUACCAUCAGAUGUGCCCAGAUGGGAUUAGCUAGUAGGUGGGGUAAUGGCUCACCUAGGCGACGAUCCCUAGCUGGUCUGAGAGGAUUACCAGGCAUACUGGACCUGAGGCACGGUUCAGACUCCGACGGGAGGCAGCAGUGGGGAAUAUUGCACAAUGGGCGAAAGCGUGAUACAGCCAUGCCGCGUGUAUGACAAUGGCCUUCGGGUUGUAAAGCACUUUCGGCGAGGAGGCGUUACUCGCAGAAGAAGCAACGGCUAACUCCGUGCCAGCCGCCGCGGUAAUUC
rnacentral:rRNA from 1 species